GAUGAAGAACGUAGCGAAAUGCGAUAAGUAAUGUGAAUUGCAGAAUUCAGUGAAUCAUCGAAUCUUUGAACGCACAUUGCGCCCAUUAGCAUUCUAGUGGGCAUGCCUGUUCGAGCGUCAUUUCAACCCUUAAGCCCUGUUGCUUAGCGUUGGGAGCCUACAGUACUGUAGCUCCCCAAAGUUAGUGGCGGAGUCGGUUUCACACUCUAGACGUAGUAAUUUUUUCUCGUCUGUAGUUGAGCCGGUCCCCUGCCGUAAAACACCCAAUUUAUCAAGGUUGACCUCGGAUCAGGUAGGAAUACCCGCUGAACUUAAGCAUAUCAAUAAGCGGAGA
rnacentral:misc_RNA from 1 species